rnacentral:lncRNA from 1 species
CUCACUAUUACCAAGCCCACCUCACGAUGAUACGAUGUCGGCUAGCAAAAAUAAUAAUGAGAGGGUACAAGUACCCAUUCACAACAACCUCUUGUGAUUACCCAUCUUUUUGGCCUCUAGAAAACAAUGCCUCACGAUGAUACGAUGUUGGCAUCAUUUCUCUUAGUUAAGUUCUUUCCCACCAUGCCGGUUUAGCUAGGGGUUCAAGCAUGACCUCACGAUGAUACGAUGUUGGCCACACUCGUUGCCUACCUUAACCUCAUCAAAUGUUUUAAAUAAACUCCUCCUGAAUAUAAGCAUGCACUUUGUCACUUCCCCCAUGAUAGGGUGAAGGCGGUGUACAAGUCAUAAACGCUUGGAGCCUACCACGGUGGAAGGCCACGAAAAAGUGUUCAAAGCACUCUUACGCUUUCAACUUAAUAUUGUAUUGUGGUUGAGGGAUUUUAAGGUCUCAUCAAUUUUAUUUAUUUAAUCACAUUCAAAUAAAUUGUCCUAUUAUAACUACUAGUCCAAAGUUAAUGAAAUUAGUAGCAUAUGAAUAUCCCCACUAUUCGUUUUCAUAAAACAAAUCAAUAUCAAAACAUUUUUCAAAAUAUUGGAGAUAUAUAUAACUACUAAUUGUAUUCAUUAUAGUUUAGUAGCGUAUGAUACUCCCACUAUUUGUUUUGAGAAAAACAAAUCAAUAUCAAAAACGAAUUUUUCAAAUAUUGGAAGUAACUACUACUACUAUGGUUUUUGCAUUCCUUUUGAAAUUGGACUUUAUAGUUAUCUUAGGCUCUUGGAUGACCAUGGACUUAUUAGGUUAUUGCAACAACGAGCCAACAUUGUUGAAUAUAAACUCGGGGAGGUUGUGUCAAUUUAAUUACGUGCUUAUCAAUCCAAUUAAAACCAUUUUCAUUGAGCCAUUAGAAAUGAAAGACAAUCAUUCAUUGCUAAUUAGGG